UACAGAGGGGGCAAGCGUUGUUCGGAAUUACUGGGCGUAAAGGGCGCGUAGGCGGCCUGUGAAGUCGAACGUGAAAUCCCCGGGCUCAACCCGGGAACUGCGUCCGGAUACUGGCAGGCUUGAAUCCGGGAGAGGGAUGCGGAAUUCCAGGUGUAGCGGUGAAAUGCGUAGAUAUCUGGAGGAACACCGGUGGCGAAGGCGGCAUCCUGGACCGGCAUUGACGCUGAGGCGCGAAAGCCAGGGGAGCAAACGGG
rnacentral:rRNA from 1 species